UACGUAGGGUGCGAGCGUUGUCCGGAAUUAUUGGGCGUAAAGAGCUCGUAGGUGGCGGGUCACGUCGGGUGUGAAAGCCCGGGGCUUAACUCCGGGUCUGCAUUCGAUACGGGUCUGCUGGGGUCCGGCAGGGGAGACUGGAAUUCCUGGUGUAGCGGUGAAAUGCGCAGAUAUCAGGAGGAACACCGGUGGCGAAGGCGGGUCUCUGGGCCGGUACCGACGCUGAGGAGCGAAAGCGUGGGGAGCGAACAGG
rnacentral:rRNA from 1 species